GAUGAACGCUAGCUACAGGCUUAACACAUGCAAGUCGAGGGGCAGCAGGAGAUUAGCUUGCUAAUCUUGCUGGCGACCGGCGCACGGGUGAGUAACGCGUAUCCAACCUUCCCCUUAGUAGGGCAUAGCCCGGCGAAAGUCGGAUUAAUACCCUAUGUUUUCCGUCGAUGACAUCAGAAGUGGAAUAAAGAUUUAUCGCUAAGGGAUGGGGAUGCGUCUGAUUAGGUAGUCGGCGGGGUAACGGCCCACCGAGCCAACGAUCAGUAGGGGUUCUGAGAGGAAGGUCCCCCACAUUGGAACUGAGACACGGUCCAAACUCCUACGGGAGGCAGCAGUGAGGAAUAUUGGUCAAUGGACGAGAGUCUGAACCAGCCAAGUAGCGUGCAGGAUGACGGCCCUAUGGGUUGUAAACUGCUUUUAUGCGGGGAUAAAGUCAGCUACGUGUAGCUGUUUGUAGGUACCGCAUGAAUAAGGACCGGCUAAUUCCGUGCCAGCCGCCGCCGU
rnacentral:rRNA from 1 species